rnacentral:tRNA from 1 species
GCCGGGGUCGCCUAGCUGGCCUAGGGCGCCAGACUCAUAAUCUGGUCAUCGCGGGUUCAAAUCCCGCCCCCGGC